AAUCAACGCUGGCGGCAGGCUUAACACAUGCAAGUCGAGCGGAGAUGAGGUGCUUGCACCUUAUCUUAGCGGCGGACGGGUGAGUAAUGCUUAGGAAUCUGCCUAUUAGUGGGGGACAACAUUCCGAAAGGAAUGCUAAUACCGCAUACGCCCUACGGGGGAAAGCAGGGGAUCUUCGGACCUUGCGCUAAUAGAUGAGCCUAAGUCGGAUUAGCUAGUUGGUGGGGUAAAGGCCUACCAAGGCGACGAUCUGUAGCGGGUCUGAGAGGAUGAUCCGCCACACUGGGACUGAGACACGGCCCAGACUCCUACGGGAGGCAGCAGUGGGGAAUAUUGGACAAUGGGCGUAAGCCUGAUCCAGCCAUGCCGCGUGUGUGAAGAAGGCCUUUUGGUUGUAAAGCACUUUAAGCGAGGAGGAGGCUACCUGGAUUAAUACUCUAGGAUAGUGGACGUUACUCGCAGAAUAAGCACCGGCUAACUCUGUGCCAGCCGCCGCGUAAGAC
rnacentral:rRNA from 1 species